rnacentral:rRNA from 1 species
GACGGGGCCCGGCACAAGCGGCGGAGCAUGUGGAUUAAUUCGAUGCAACGCGAAGAACCUUACCUGGGUUUGACAUAUACCGGAAAGCUGCAGAGAUGUGGCCCCCCUUGUGGUCGGUAUACAGGUGGUGCAUGGCUGUCGUCAGCUCGUGUCGUGAGAUGUUGGGUUAAGUCCCGCAACGAGCGCAACCCUAUCUUAUGUUGCCAGCACGUUAUGGUGGGGACUCGUAAGAGACUGCCGGGGUCAACUCGGAGGAAGGUGGGGACGACGUCAAGUCAUCAUGCCCCUUAUGUCCAGGGCUUCACACAUGCUACAAUGGCCAGUACAGAGGGCUGCGAGACCGUGAGGUGGAGCGAAUCCCUUAAAGCUGGUCUCAGUUCGGAUCGGGGUCUGCAACUCGACCCCGUGAAGUCGGAGUCGCUAGUAAUCGCAGAUCAGCAACGCUGCGGUGAAUACGUUCCCGGGCCUU